rnacentral:tRNA from 1 species
GCCUGCCUGGCUCAGUCGAUAGAGCAUGUGACUCCUGAUCUCAUAAUCAUGAGUUUGAGCCUCAUGUUGGGUG